CCAGAGCGCCGAAAGGCUGCUUAAAACCAUCGUGAACCUAUCCAUCAGCGUUGCUUCGGCGGGUGAGGCCCGGGCCGCAUGCGGCCCGGGCCGGGACCCACCUCUCCGGAGGUGGGGCCGCCGGCCGGAGGUACGAAACUCUUGUGAAUCUCUGCGAUAUCUCUGAGUAUACAAGCAAAUAAUCA
rnacentral:misc_RNA from 1 species